UAUCUCUGUAGAGUCUGCAUAUCAAUAAGCGGAGGAAAAGAAACUAACUAGGAUUCCCUCAGUAACGGCGAGUGAAGCGGGAAGAGCUCAAAUUUGAAAUCUUCAAGGUUUUACCUUGACGAAUUGUAGUUUAAAGAAGUGUUUUCUGUUAGAUGAGUAGGCUAAAGUUCCUUGGAAUAGGGACAUCAUAGAGGGUGAGAAUCCCGUAUUUGACUUAUUCAUUCUAGCUUUGUGAUACACUUUCAAAGAGUCGGAUUGUUUGGGAAUGCAGUCCAAAAUGGGUGGUAAAUUUCAUCUAAAGCUAAAUAUUGGCGAGAGACCGAUAGCGAACAAGUACCGUGAGGGAAGGAUGAAAAGAACUUUGAAAAGAGAGUUAAACAGUACGUGAAAUUGUCAAAAGGGAAGCGUUUGACACCAGUGUUGUUUUCUCGAAAAUCAAUUAAAAAAGGCAGGAUUUUGUGUUGUAUUGACUUUAUCAGCUUUCUGCACUCUUUUCUUGUCUUUUUUUAAUGCACUUUUCGUUUAACAAGUCAACAUCAAUUUCUUUUGUUGUAAAAGGGUCAUUGGAAGGUGGCUUUCUUUUCGGAGAAAGUGUUUAUAGCCUUUGGCCUCUGCAAUCGGAGAGAUUGAGGUCUGCAGCGUAGAUCCUUCGGGGUUAGAUACAUUUGUGCUAAGUUAUAGCCUUUCAUAGACAACUUGUUGACUAUGAUCAGUCAUGUAGCUUACUCGCUUAUGCUAUUUUACCUACGCUUAGGAUGUUGAAGAUGUAGCACAUCA
rnacentral:rRNA from 1 species